AUUGAACGCUGGCGGCAUGCCUUACACAUGCAAGUCGAGCGGCAGCACGGGGCAACCUGGUGGCGAGUGGCGAACGGGUGAGUAAUGCAUCGGAACGUACCUUUCAGUGGGGGAUAACGUAGCGAAAGUUACGCUAAUACCGCAUAUUCUGUGAGCAGGAAAGCAGGGGAUCGCAAGACCUUGCGCUGAUUGAGCGGCCGAUGUCAGAUUAGCUAGUUGGUGAGGUAAAGGCUCACCAAGGCGACGAUCUGUAGCGGGUCUGAGAGGAUGAUCCGCCACACGGGAACUGAGACACGGUCCAGACUCCUACGUGAGGCAGCAGUGGGGAAUUUUGGACAAUGGGGGCAACCCUGAUCCAGCCAUGCCGCGUGAGUGAAGAAGGCCUUCGGGUUGUAAAGCUCUUUCGGCCGGGAAGAAAUCGCACGGGCUAAUACCCUGUGUGGAUGACGGUACCGGAAUAAGAAGCACCGGCUAACUACGUGCCAGCCGCCGCCGUAA
rnacentral:rRNA from 1 species